rnacentral:rRNA from 1 species
UACGUAGGUGGCGAACGUUGUCCGGAUUCACUGGGCGUAAAGCGCGCGCAGGCGGACUGGUAAGUCUGAGGUGAAAGCUCCCGGCUCAACUGGGAGAAGCCCUUGGAUACUGCCAGCCUUGAGACACCUAGAGGAGAGUGGAAUUCCCGGUGUAGUGGUGGAAUGCGUAGAUAUCGGGAGGAACACCAGUGGCGAAAGCGGCUCUCUGGGGGUGUUCUGACGCUGAGGCGCGAAAGCGUGGGGAGCAAAC